rnacentral:rRNA from 1 species
AUUGAACGCUGGCGGCAGGCCUAACACAUGCAAGUCGAGCGGAUGAAGGGAGCUUGCUCCUGGAUUCAGCGGCGGACGGGUGAGUAAUGCCUAGGAAUCUGCCUGGUAGUGGGGGAUAACGUGCGGAAACGGGCGCUAAUACCGCAUACGUCCUGAGGGCGAAAGUGGGGGAGCUUCGGACCUCACGCUAUCAGAUGAGCCUAGGUCGGAUUAGCUAGUUGGUGGGGUAAAGGCCUACCAAGGCGACGAUCCGUAACUGGUCUGAGAGGAUGAUCAGUCACACUGGAACUGAGACACGGUCCAGACUCCUACGGGAGGCAGCAGUGGGGAAUAUUGGACAAUGGGCGAAAGCCUGAUCCAGCCAUGCCGCGUGUGUGAAGAAGGUCUUCGGAUUGUAAAGCACUUUAAGUUGGGAGGAAGGGCAGUAAGUUAAUACCUUGCUGUUUUGACGUUACCAACAGAAUAAGCACCGGCUAACUUCGUG